ACUAUUUUGUCAUGCGAUAUGAACUACUAAGUUGAAGAUCAAGGUGGAAUUCGCUGAUAUUAUUCUGGUGAUAUAUUAUAUUCGGAAGGAUAUCCUUAUUUAAACCGGAGGUAUGAAUGACAUAUUGUAAUUCAUCUUCUAUUUAUUUUAUAGAUGUAGUGUCACGAUAAAUGAUACAAUAUAAAUUAUUAUGCGUAGAUGUAAUGGAUGUUGUUAAAUUGUUAUAUGUAAAAAAGAUAAGUAAUGGAUGUUGUUAUUACAAUGUAAAUCUAAAAAUAUGAUUUUUAAUGGACUAACGAUGUAAAUA